rnacentral:lncRNA from 1 species
CCGGCUUUAAAACCACAACAACAGCAACGAGAGGGGAGGAAAAAGGAAAGGAAAAAGGAAAGCGGCGCUCGGACCGCGGCCAUAAGGACCCAUAAUGGGGGGAUUUUGCGCGUUUUCUUCCUGCGCGGAACCGCAGCGCAGCUCUGGGGGGCGAAGACGGCGGAAUUUUGGGUGCAAAUCUUCAAGAUUUGGGGCGAUUUUGGUAAUUGGAAUCAUUGCGAUCCCCGGGGGGGGCGCGCUGGGGGCGGAGCGCAGGGCGGAAACGCUGCGCGGAUUUGGGGUCACUUCGGGGCGUUCGGUGCGGGGAAAUCGAAGCGGGGGGGGGGGAUUGGGGUGCGGGGGGGGCUCAAAGCAGCCGGAGAUCCGCUGUGCGGGGAGGGGGUCGGUAGGAAAUGGACCUUUGGGAGCGCACGUGCGUGAGUGUGAGUGUGAGUGUGAGUGUGUGAGUGUGAGUGUGAGUGAGCGCAGCUCUCGCGUUCUUUCGGGGUAAUUUGGGGGUCAUUAUUUGUUUAUUUUUUGUAUUUUUUUAUUAUUAUUCUUAAUGGGUAUAAAAUCCGAAAGGCGCCGAGGAAAAUAAGUGGUGGGUGUGCGCGUAAUUAUAGGGAGAGAGGGGUGAGAGUGGGUGUGAAACGGGGGGAAGGGAAAAGGAAAGGGCAAAAAUGAGGGGUUAAGAGGGUAAAAACGUUCAGAGUAAAAAAAUCGGGGAUAAGAAAAUGAAAAUAAAAAAUAUUAUUAUUAAUAAUAAAAUAGUAUAAAAAUAAAAUGAAAUAAAAAUUAAAAGUAAUUAAAUGAAAUGAAAAUAAAAAUAAGAAUAAAAUAAAAUAAAAAUAAAAUAAUAAAAAUGAAAUGAAAUAAAAAUAAAAAAAUUAAAUAAAACAGAAAUAAAUACAGAAAUAUAAAAAUAAAACAGAAAUAAAUACAGAAAUAUAAAAAUAAAACAGAAAUAAAAGUAAGCGAAUAACAGAAGCGAAAAGUAAAGGAAAAAUGUGAAUAAAGAAAAAUAAAAUAAUAAAAUAAUAAUAAAUAAUAAAAGUGAAAAAGCCAAAAAAAAAAUGAAAUUAAUGACGAAUAAGAAAUGAAAGCAAAGAAAAAAUGUUGAUAUUAAUAAAAGUGAUGAAUAAAAGGAAAUAAAAAGGAACCCAACGAGAAAUGAGCAGAAAAAAAAGAAACGGUGAAAAGUGAAGGGAAAAAGAAAUGAGAUGGGAAGUAAUGAAGGAUAGGAGUGGGAAUAAAUGCGACUGAAAAGGAAGGGAAAAUAAGGGAUAAAUGGGAAUAAAGGAUAAAUAAAAUGAAUAAAUAGAAAUUAAAAUUAAAGGAGGAUAAAGAACACAAAAAUAAAGGAAAGAUCGGGAAAAAAAUUAAAGCACCUCAAAAAGAGAAAAGUAAAAAGAAAGAAAUGAACGGGAAUUGAAAGCGCUGAAAAUAAAACCCGAAAACGUUCGAACAGAGCGAAAAUAAAUGGAGGUAAUCAAAGAGAAAAGGCAGAAAUGGAUUUCAAAUAGGAAAUACUAAAUAAUAGUAAUUAAUAACAGAAAUGAUUUUUAAAGGCAGGGAUAUUAAAAAUACAGAUAAAAAUAAUAAGUGUGAAAAAUAGGGAGAGGUUUGUGGUGGAAAAGGUUAAAAAAGGGAAAGGAGGAAAAAAGGAAAAGGGGAAAACACGGGAUAUAUUCAAAAGGAAAAUGGAAAAUAUUUAAAAAGCGAAAAAAAGGAAAUGGAAAAUAUUAAAAUUUAUGGAGAAAAGUGAAAAAAGGAGAAAAGAAAAACAGAAAAUGUUAAAAAAAGACGGGGAGGAAAAAAAAGAAAGAAAUAGAAAACAGUAAAAAAGGAAAAAAAAAAAGAAAAGGAAAUUAAAGCCGUAUUUUUAAAAAAUGGCGUAAAAACCAAAAAUCGGAAAAAACGGGAAAAAAUAAAAUCGAGGGGGAAAAAAUCGGGGAAAAAAAAAAAGUAAUUAAAAAAAAAAAAAACCCAAACUCACCCAAAUUGAGCUCCGUCUCUGCGCGCUGUGCGGGCGGAGCCGCGCGGUGCGUUUCGGGCGCUCUCCGCUCUCCGCCGUUGACCGAAAUGGGCUCCAAAAGCCCCCAAAAGCGGCGCCUCCCGCGACCCCCCCACCCCCACCCCCCCCACCCCCAUCGGCGAUGCGCGCAACCUCCGCGCCCCCGUCCGAACGCAGCGCCCUUUGCGAGGGUUUUGCGUCGUUAUUUUGGGGGGGAAAGUGGGAAAUUGGGCAAAAGAGGGCGAUUUUUUUUAAUGGUGGGGGGGGUUGGGGGGGGUCGGAGCCGCUCUGAGGUCCGAGCGGAGCCCCGUCCCGCGGAUGGCGCUCCGUAAUUCAUCAUUAUCGCUAAUUAAUAAGCCGAUAACGAUCGCCUCCGUAGGAAAAGCCGCGCUCGUUGGGCUGCUUUUAUGGCCGCCCCUCUCCAUCCUAAAUCACCUCCGGCUCCGCUCCGCAAUAACUCACCGCGCAAUGAGCGGCUGCCCGAAGCGCCUUCCGGCCCCCCCCGGCCUCUGCCGCUCUCCGGACCCCCCCCCAAAACCCCCCUCCCCAAAUCCCCCCCCAUCCCCAUCCCGGCCCCGGGGCUCCGCGUCAUCCGCGCAACGAUCCCGGUUCGAAUCCCAGCGCCGCCCGUCCGGGAACUGCGCGGGUUGGGGGGGAGGGGGGGUGGGGGGGGAGGUCCUUUUUAGCGCCCUCCUCCCGUCCUAUUGCCGUAAUUUUUUUAGGAUUAUUAUUGCUAUUAAUCCCAUUGAUCCCAUCAUUCCCAUUAUUCCUAUUCCUAUAUUUGCUAUUAUUCCUUCUAUUGAUAUUAUUCCUAUUAAUCCUAUCAUUCCUAUCAACCCUACUAUUCCUAUUAUUCCUAUUCCUAUCAACCCUAUUAUUCCUAUUAUUCCUGGUCCUAUCAUUCCUAUUAUUCCUAUCAUUCCUAUUAUUGCCAUUAUUGCCAUUAUUGCUAUGAUUGCAAUUAAUUCUAUUAUUGCUAUCAUUCCUAUCAUUCCUAUUAUUCCUAUCCCUAUCAUUCCUAUCAUUCCUAUUAUUGCUACCCCUAAUAUUGCUAUUAUCCCCAUCUAUUCUAUUCCUAUCUGUUAUUCCCGUUAUUCCUAUCAUUCCCAUUAUUAUUAUUCCCAUUAUUCCUAUUACUGCCAUUCCUCUCAUUAAUACCACAAUUAACACCGUUACCACCGUUCCCAUUAUUACUCCCGAUGCUCCUAAUGCCGCUGCUACAACCACUGCUCUUAUCACUAUCAUCACCACUACCACCACUGCUGCUCACACGUGCAACACGUGCACACUCAGAUCACACGCAGGCACACGUGACCCACGCUGGUGCCCAUAACACACACGAUGCGCGUGCAACACACGCUUGCACAACUCCCGCUUGCAGUGCAACCCAUGCACGCGCGCCGGACGCAUGCUUGCACACACAGCACGUGCAGCACACGCUGUGCACACGUGACACACACACACACGCGCUGUGCGUGUGCAAUGCAGACCGCCCCCAGGGGGCACACCCAGUGCAGACCCUCCCCGUCAGGGUGUGAGCCCCCCCACAAAGCGCAGACCCCCCCUCCAACCCCAUGCAAACCCCAUCCCUCCCCACAGCCCCACGCGCCCCCAAUACUCAUUGGAGGUCGCCCCAAAUCCCCCCCAGACCUCCAUGCGAUGGGCAGGAAACCCACCCGGCACGGCUAUGGGGCAGCACCCCGUGUUAUCUGGGGGGGUCCCCCCACCCCCCCUCCAUGGGCAGGUGGGCGUUGCUGGUGAUCUGGGGCCUUUCUCCAAUAAUGCCUGACCUCUGGGUGCCCUUUGGCAAAAUAUGCAGGGAGACAAAGCCCCGAACCCCCCCCACAGCACUGCUGGGGGGGCACCAACCUCAGCCCCUCCCCGAGGGCCUCACCGCAGCCUGUGGGGCAAAAUGGGGCCCCCCCAAACCCCACCCAGUGCGUAUGUGAGGGGGGGUCCACUCCUAACCACUGCACUCUGAUGGGGCUGAAGGACCCCCCCCCCCCCACUUCCAUCCAACACACAGCAGCCCUCAGCAACACACGUGUGCACACGCGUGUAACAAACACGUUUGCACGCCGGUCACGUGUGUGCAUGCAGGUCUGCACUGCACGUGGACAAUGCAUUCGCACACACACAGCACGUGUGCACGCUGGUGUUGCACGCAGAGGACUUGUGCGUGCAAGAGUGCACCGCAGGUGUGCUCAGAGGUGCCCUGCUGGGUGCACACACGUGUGUGCUCACACACCCGUGCACAGAGACUACCUGUGUGCAAACACACGUGCGUGGGUGUCCGUAAUGGGGCUGUUAUUUGGGGGCACCAUUCAUAAGGAUGGAGCCCUCCGGGGGACACCGCAGCCGAGAUCCCAUCGGCUUUGACUUCAGGAAACCCCAAAGCUUUAAUUAAGAGCAUCUUCUCAUCCAUAUCCCGGUGCUGGGGGGGGAUGGGGGUUGGGGGGGGGGGAUGCACGCACAGCUCGGUGUGCCAGGUGAGCAGGUUGGACUAAUCAAGAUAAAUAUGGGAUGCGCUGCAGGCCCUGCUAACGAGCCGAGGGGCGGCCGGGGGUGCGCAGGGUGGGAUCCUGCAGCUCCACAUCGCCAUGGAGACGGGGUCAGAGCAGCAGCAUCACCACCCCCCCCAUCCCCAAAACCCCUCAUCGCUUCCAAAUGGGGUGGGGGGGGAUCCAGGUGAGCCCCCCCCCACACACACACAGCCCCAAAAAAUCCUUCUGCUGGAAAGCAGGGUGGAAAUAAAAGCAGAAUGUUCCCGCUUGGGGGACGCGUCCGUGUUUUAUCCUUGUGGUGUUUUCAGGGGUUUCGCAAAGGAGAGAACACACAGCUCCGGGUCGGGUUGGGUUUGUUUUGGGGGGGGGGGGGGGGGAGAUAUUAUAGGAAACAAUGGAUUACAUCCCAGCUAAUUGCCUGCAGCCUUCUGCAGUGAGGGGGUGGGAUGCAUUAAGGAGAAAAGAGGGCAUCAGGGCACUGCACUGCUGAUGGGGAAGGGGCUUCUCCCACCCCCACCCCCACCCCCCCUCCAAACCUCUGGGGGUGCCACAUUCUGCAGCGGUACCCCACGCAGCCCCCACCACCACCAAGAGAAGGGAUGCUGCCAUAAGGGACUGCAUUCCAUUUUGGGGUAGGUGACGGUAGCCGGGCUGGGAGGAGCUGAGCUCUGAGGGCAUCUGAUGGGAACGGGUGGGAAAUUGGGGGAUGAAGGAUGAGGAAGAGGAGGGGAAUGAAGGGCAGGCCUGGACGGGGUGAUGGAGAGGGAGCCCUGGGGGAGGGCAGGGAGCUCUGAAACAUCUGCUGCCGGAGCCAUAAAGCACUGGGAUUUACUGCUCUCCUCUGCCAGACGCCACGAGAAGGAAUCCCCGUCACAAUGGGGAGCGCGGGGCUGAGUGCCCCAUCCCGGUGUCACCGCCACACCGCACGGAUGGGCUGCCCCACGUCGGGGCAGCGCCCCCUAAACUGGCACGGAUGUAUAGGGGUGACCCCCGGAGUCCCGCAUGGUGGCGUCCCCUGGGGGUCACCCCCGAGGAAGUGGCACCCCGCAGCCUGAGAGCACAGCUGGGUGACCCCACACAUCCGGGCAGCGUCCCCCAAGGUGCCGCAUCUGGAUGGCGCCCCACAGCUGGAUGGCGCCCCACAGCUGGACAUCUUCAGUGCUGCACACAUCUGGACGGCGGGGCGUCACAUCUGGGCAUCCUCUGAGGGCAGAACCCCAAACCUGGGCUCCUCCCAUUGUGUCCCCCCCCCCACACACACACAGUUGGACACCUCCAGGGAAGGACCGCCGCACAUCUGGAUCCCCUCCCAUGGUAGCACCCCACAUCUGGACACCCCCGCCCUCCGUUGGCGCCCCCAUUGGGAUGCUCUCCCUCAUCGCCACCCCACAUCUGGGCACCCCAGCAAAGCAUCGUCCCACAUCUGGGCGUCCCCCCUAUAAUAGCACCUCACAUCUGGGCACCCCAACUAGAUGGCACCCCACAAAAGCAUCGCCCCACUUCUGGGCACCCCCCUUAUAGUAGCACCCCAUAUCUGGGCACAGCAACAGGACUGCAUCCUACACACGGCCCCCAAAGCAAAGCAUCACCCCACAUCUGGGC